rnacentral:lncRNA from 1 species
GAAGGAUUGUGGGGACGGCUCUGACGAACAGACCUGUCCUGAGCCUGCCGCAAUGACUGUGGGGACAACAGUGACGAAGCCGGCUGCAGCCACUCCUGUUCUAGCACCCAGUUCAAGUGCAACAGCGGGCGUUGCAUCCCCGAGCACUGGACCUGCGAUGGGGACAAUGACUGCGGAGACUACAGUGAUGAGACACACGCCAACUGCACC